rnacentral:rRNA from 1 species
UACGGAGGAUCCGAGCGUUAUCCGGAUUUAUUGGGUUUAAAGGGUGCGUAGGCGGCCCUGUAAGUCAGUGGUGAAAUACUCUAGCUUAACUAGAGGGGUGCCAUUGAUACUGCAGGGCUUGAGUGGAGUCGAAGUAGGCGGAAUUGACGGUGUAGCGGUGAAAUGCUUAGAUAUCGUCAAGAACACCGAUAGUGAAGACAGCUUACUAGGCUUCUACUGACGCUGAGGCACGAAAGUGUGGGGAUCAAACAGG